CUGGUACUUUAACCAGGCACUAUGUUAUGGGAUGUGAGUGUCCCACACAGUGACUUAACUGUUGAACCAGAUGCCUGUCCCAUAAUCAAAAGGCUUUACACUCCAACAGGAAUAUUACAUGUGUACCUACUCUGUAGAAGGUAUUAGAUAGUUAGAGUAUAUUUCUAUAUCCUGUAUUCUGUUAUCAAACUGUCCCCACUUUAAGGAUGAGACAUCUGUAGAUCAGAAACAUAAAUUUUCUAAGGUCAUCUACCUACUAACUGGUGAACUGCUUAAAUAGUCUUUAUUGAUAUUGUCCAGCUAACUAGGAAAAUCUGAAAUCAUUCAGUCAGAAUAACUAUACUAAAGCACACUGUCAUUUGGGGUGCUCAGAACACAAAGCUAACAAGUAUUAGCACCAAAAAAAUUAGUUCUAACACAUUCUAAUUGUUUCUGUUACUGCUUUGGAAGCUGUGAAUAUUAAUCCCCUUUUAUUCUUUCAGUUCACUUAUGCUCAUGAUGAAUAUUUCGUUUGAACACUGGAUUCCAUGGAAGAGAAGUCUGAAAACCACUGAUCUCAUCUGAUACUUCCAUGAUUGAGAACACGGCUGGAACUGAGAAGCUGUUGGGGACUGGUGAGGAAGAACAUGGCAUCUACCACCAGGUCAAACAUCUACGAGGUAGGAUGAGACACGGAUUAGUUUUCUUUACUCAGAAAAGUUCAAAACAUGUUUCAGACUUUCUUGGCUUGGUGAAAUACCAAAUGAGGUUUCCUUAAAAGGAGAAAACAGGUAAGUUUAGAUGUAAUUCUAGGUAAAAUUGGCCCAUAUAUGAUUGAUAUUAUAAAAAAUAUGUACAUUGCAUUUAGGUUACAUAAGCAAAGGACUCUAUGAACUUUGUAAAUGUAGACCUACUUUAUUUUUAGACAGGAGUAAUUUUUUCACAGGAAUUAUAUUUUCUCAUGUGUAAAUAAAUUCAGUGUUGAAAAUCUUAAUUCUUUGUGA
rnacentral:lncRNA from 1 species